UACGGAGGGGACUAGCGUUGUUCGGAAUUACUAGGCGUAGAGCGCGCGUAGGCGGAUUUGCAAGUCGGGGGUGAAAGCCCGAGGCUCAACCUCGGAACUGCCCUCGAUACUGCAAAUCUCGAGUCCGAGAGAGGUGAGUGGAAUUCCUAGUGUAGAGGUGAAAUUCGUAGAUAUUAGGAAGAACACCAGUGGCGAAGGCGGCUCACUGGCUCGGUACUGACGCUGAGGCGCGAAAGCGUGGGGAGCAAACAGG
rnacentral:rRNA from 1 species